rnacentral:rRNA from 1 species
GGUUAAGCGACUAAGCGUACACGGUGGAUGCCCUGGCAGUCAGAGGCGAUGAAGGACGUGCUAAUCUGCGAAAAGCGUCGGUAAGGUGAUAUGAACCGUUAUAACCGGCGAUGUCCGAAUGGGGAAACCCAGUGUGUUUCGACACACUAUCAUUAACUGAAUCCAUAGGUUAAUGAGGCGAACCGGGGGAACUGAAACAUCUAAGUACCCCGAGGAAAAGAAAUCAACCGAGAUUCCCCCAGUAGCGGCGAGCGAACGGGGAGGAGCCCAGAGCCUGAAUCAGUGUGUGUGUUAGUGGAAGCGUCUGGAAAGGCGUGCGAUACAGGGUGACAGCCCCGUACACAAAAAUGCACAUGCUGUGAGCUCGAUGAGUAGGGCGGGACACGUGGUAUCCUGUCUGAAUAUGGGGGGACCAUCCUCCAAGGCUAAAUACUCCUGACUGACCGAUAGUGAACCAGUACCGUGAGGGAAAGGCGAAAAGAACCCCGGCGAGGGGAGUGAAAAAGAACCUGAAACCGUGUACGUACAAGCAGUGGGAGCCUCUUUAUGGGGUGACUGCGUACCUUUUGUAUAAUGGGUCAGCGACUUAUAUUCUGUAGCAAGGUUAACCGAAUAGGGGAGCCGGAGGGAAACCGAGUCUUAACUGGGCGUUAAGUUGCAGGGUAUAGACCCGAAACCCGGUGAUCUAGCCAUGGGCAGGUUGAAGGUUGGGUAACACUAACUGGAGGACCGAACCGACUAAUGUUGAAAAAUUAGCGGAUGACUUGUGGCUGGGGGUGAAAGGCCAAUCAAACCGGGAGAUAGCUGGUUCUCCCCGAAAGCUAUUUAGGUAGCGCCUCGUGAAUUCAUCUCCGGGGGUAGAGCACUGUUUCGGCAAGGGGGUCAUCCCGACUUACCAACCCGAUGCAAACUGCGAAUACCGGAGAAUGUUAUCACGGGAGACACACGGCGGGUGCUAACGUCCGUCGUGAAGAGGGAAACAACCCAGACCGCCAGCUAAGGUCCCAAAGUCAUGGUUAAGUGGGAAACGAUGUGGGAAGGCCCAGACAGCCAGGAUGUUGGCUUAGAAGCAGCCAUCAUUUAAAGAAAGCGUAAUAGCUCACUGGUCGAGUCGGCCUGCGCGGAAGAUGUAACGGGGCUAAACCAUGCACCGAAGCUGCGGCAGCGACGCUGAUGCGUUGUUGGGUAGGGGAGCGUUCUGUAAGCCUGUGAAGGUGUGCUGUGAGGCAUGCUGGAGGUAUCAGAAGUGCGAAUGCUGACAUAAGUAACGAUAAAGCGGGUGAAAAGCCCGCUCGCCGGAAGACCAAGGGUUCCUGUCCAACGUUAAUCGGGGCAGGGUGAGUCGACCCCUAAGGCGAGGCCGAAAGGCGUAGUCGAUGGGAAACAGGUUAAUAUUCCUGUACUUGGUGUUACUGCGAAGGGGGGACGGAGAAGGCUAUGUUGGCCGGGCGACGGUUGUCCCGGUUUAAGCGUGUAGGCUGGUUUUCCAGGCAAAUCCGGAGAAUCAAGGCUGAGGCGUGAUGACGAGGCACUACGGUGCUGAAGCAACAAAUGCCCUGCUUCCAGGAAAAGCCUCUAAGCAUCAGGUAACAUCAAAUCGUACCCCAAACCGACACAGGUGGUCAGGUAGAGAAUACCAAGGCGCUUGAGAGAACUCGGGUGAAGGAACUAGGCAAAAUGGUGCCGUAACUUCGGGAGAAGGCACGCUGAUAUGUAGGUGAAGCGACUUGCUCGUGGAGCUGAAAUCAGUCGAAGAUACCAGCUGGCUGCUGCAACUGUUUAUUAAAAACACAGCACUGUGCAAACACGAAAGUGGACGUAUACGGUGUGACGCCUGCCCGGUGCCGGAAGGUUAAUUGAUGGGGUCAGCGCAAGCGAAGCUCUUGAUCGAAGCCCCGGUAAACGGCGGCCGUAACUAUAACGGUCCUAAGGUAGCGAAAUUCCUUGUCGGGUAAGUUCCGACCUGCACGAAUGGCGUAAUGAUGGCCAGGCUGUCUCCACCCGAGACUCAGUGAAAUUGAACUCGCUGUGAAGAUGCAGUGUACCCGCGGCAAGACGGAAAGACCCCGUGAACCUUUACUAUAGCUUGACACUGAACACUGGUCCUUGAUGUGUAGGAUAGGUGGGAGGCUUUGAAGUGUGGACGCCAGUCUGCAUGGAGCCGUCCUUGAAAUACCACCCUUUAAUGGCUGGUGUUCUAACGUAGGCCCCUUAUCGGGGUUGCGGACAGUGUCUGGUGGGUAGUUUGACUGGGGCGGUCUCCUCCUAAAGAGUAACGGAGGAGCACGAAGGUUGGCUAAUCCUGGUCGGACAUCAGGAGGUUAGUGCAAUGGCAUAAGCCAGCUUGACUGCGAGCGUGACGGCGCGAGCAGGUGCGAAAGCAGGUCAUAGUGAUCCGGUGGUUCUGAAUGGAAGGGCCAUCGCUCAACGGAUAAAAGGUACUCCGGGGAUAACAGGCUGAUACCGCCCAAGAGUUCAUAUCGACGGCGGUGUUUGGCACCUCGAUGUCGGCUCAUCACAUCCUGGGGCUGAAGUAGGUCCCAAGGGUAUGGCUGUUCGCCAUUUAAAGUGGUACGCGAGCUGGGUUUAGAACGUCGUGAGACAGUUCGGUCCCUAUCUGCCGUGGGCGCUGGAGAACUGAGGGGGGCUGCUCCUAGUACGAGAGGACCGGAGUGGACGCAUCACUGGUGUUCGGGUUGUCAUGCCAAUGGCACUGCCCGGUAGCUAAAUGCGGAAGAGAUAAGUGCUGAAAGCAUCUAAGCACGAAACUUGCCCCGAGAUGAGUUCUCCCUGACCCUUUAAGGGUCCUGAAGGAACGUUGAAGACGACGACGUUGAUAGGCCGGGUGUGUAAGCGCAGCGAUGCGUUGAGCUAACCGGUACUAAUGAACCGUGAGGCUUAACCUU